rnacentral:precursor_RNA from 1 species
CAAGGGUUUAAAACUCCAUACAUGUAUGGAAUCUGCAUGGAGUUUCAAACUCUUGGA